AUUGAACGCUGGCGGCAUGCCUUACACAUGCAAGUCGAACGGCAGCACGGGUGCUUGCACCUGGUGGCGAGUGGCGAACGGGUGAGUAAUAUAUCGGAACGUACCUUAUUGUGGGGGAUAACGCAGCGAAAGCUGUGCUAAUACCGCAUAAUCCCUAAGGGGGAAAGCGGGGGACCGUAAGGCCUCGCGCAAUUAGAGCGGCCGAUACCUGAUUAGCUAGUUGGUGAGGUAAAGGCUCACCAAGGCAACGAUCAGUAGCUGGUCUGAGAGGACGAUCAGCCACACUGGGACUGAGACACGGGCCAGACUCCUACGGGAGGAAGCAGUGGGGAAUUUUGGACAAUGGGGGCAACCCUGAUCCAGCAAUGCCGCGUGAGUGAAGAAGGCCUACGGGUUGUAAAGCUCUUUUGUCAGGGAAGAAACAGCAGCUCUAACACAGUAUGCGAAUGACGGUACCUGAAGAAUAAGCACCGGCUAACUACGUGCCAGCAGCCGCAGUAA
rnacentral:rRNA from 1 species